rnacentral:rRNA from 1 species
CAUGCAUGUUUCCGCAAUCAGGGACGAAUAGCUCAGUAAAACUGCGAUGAUUUAGUCUGGCUGUGUAGAUAACUACGUGAAAAUGUAGCUAAGGGAAGGCAGAAUAAGACGCAGGACUAUCAGUUAGUUGGUAGUGUAAUGGACUACCAAGACAGUGACGGUUGACGGGAAAUUAGGGUUUUGUACCGGAGAGGGAGCCUGAGAGAUUGCUCCCACGUCCAAGGACGGCAGCAGGCGCGAAAAUUGCCCACUCUUUGCAGGAGGCAGUUAUGAGACGUGAAGAUGAGUAUCUUGUAAAGAGGGAUAGGAGAAUUGGAGGGCAAGUUUGGUGCCAGCAGCCGCGGUAAUACCGACUCCAAGAGUGUGUAUGAGAGAUGCUGCAGUUAAAAAGUCCGUAGUCAUAGAAGGGCAAAGAGAGACGCGAGGUCUCACA